CUCCAGUGAUGACCUUCAAUUAGUUACACGUGUCUUGGCCACUGAUGUAAGUGAUGGGAUUGAGGAACUGAGGAG